rnacentral:rRNA from 1 species
UACGUAGGCAGCGAGCGUUGUUCGGAAUUACUGGGCGUAAAGAGUGUGUAGGCGGUGCUCUAAGUUCGGUGUGAAAUCUCUCGGCUUAACUGGGAGGGUGCGCCGGAAACUGGAGUGCUCGAACGUGGGAGAGGAAAGCGGAAUUCCUGGUGUAGCGGUGAAAUGCGUAGAUAUCAGGAGGAACACCUGCGGUGUAGACGGCUUUCUGGACUCGAUUGUGACGCUGAGACACGAAAGCGUGGGUAGCAAACAGG